rnacentral:pre_miRNA from 1 species
CAUAUACUUCCUUCGUCCGAAAAUACUUGUCAUUGAAAUGGAUGUAUCUAGAUGUAUUUUAGUUUUAGAUACAUCUAUUUUAAUGACAAGUAAUUCCGGACGAAGGGAGUACAUA